ACAGUAGAACGAUCUGGAAAGUUCGGCCAAAGACGGUGAUAGCCCGGUAUAUGAAAUUGUUAGUGUGGUACUAAGAGCAUGAGAAGUAGAGCGGGACACGUGACAUCCUGCUCGAAGAUGGGGGGACCAUCCUCCAAGGCUAAAUACUCGUAAUCGACCGAUAGUGAACCAGUACCGUGAGGGAAAGGCGAAAAGAACCCCGGGAGGGGAGUGAAAUAGAAUCUGAAACCGCAUACAUACAAACAGUAGGAGCCCGCGAGGGUGACUGCGUACCUUUUGCAUAAUGGGUCAGCGACUUACGUUCAGUAGCGAGCUUAACCGAGUAGGGGAGGCGUAGCGAAAGCGAGUUCGAAUAGAGCGAGUAGUUGCUGGGCGUAGACCCGAAACCGGAUGAUCUAUCCAUGACCAGGUUGAAGUUGUGGUAACACACAAUGGAGGACCGAACCGACUAGUGUUGCAAAAUUAGCGGAUGAGUUGUGGAUAGGGGUGAAAGGCUAAACAAAUC
rnacentral:ncRNA from 1 species